GCCCGCCUAGCUCAAUCGGAUAGAGCGUCAGACUCUUACGAGUGGCGGUUAAGCGCUUAGUCCGACAGGACAUCUGAAGGCUGCGAGUUCGACCCUCGCGGUGGGCU
rnacentral:tRNA from 1 species